UGAAAACAUAAAAAGCAAUUGGGAGUUUUUGCUGUCACACCGUCAGGAAGCAGAAUCUGGGAGACACUACAGCAUAACCAAAGCUCCUCUGCUCAUCCCCUCAGCCCUUUUCUUCAUCUUUUUCAGGUGGUGUUACCAAUUAUGUGGAGGAAAACCGGAGGAAACCACAGUUGUUUUUUAAGAUUUUACAGCCCUCCAAAUCCUGCAGAAGUCCUGAAGGAGCUGCAGCCCACUGUUCCUCUGGAAGACACCAAGCAGUCCAUCUGUGGUCAAGAGCAGGUUUAAUGGUUCUCCAGCCAUCUUCCUUGCUGAUCAGAGGUGGGACACAUAACUGAAGAAUAGACAACAUGGUCAAGAUGCACCGUCUGCUCCCAGCUGCCUCAGGAAACACUCCAUUACACCCUGGGCCAUAAGAAAGAUGAGUCUGAAGUUUCUGCCUGCAGUGGCAAACCUCUGAAGACCUCCAGUUGCAAUGCUGUGGUUGCCACUUCCAGCUUUCUCUGUGGCUUAGGUGACCAGGGUCCCUUCUCUGCUCAUGUUGAGCUGCCUGUAAGUCCCCAUCCAGUUGGAGAUGCCAAACUGGGGCAGCACUGGCUUUGUAGCUGGCGAUUGAAAGCGGUGUCUCUGAUCCUGGACCAGAUGUCUCAAAAAUUUGGUGUCUCAAGACCUGGAGAAAACCUUCUGCACUUUGUGACAUGACCACGUUGGAGAGGAAGAGGCCACAGGCAGAGGUAAGGGCUGCUCUGCGAUGGACUGGGCUGUGAUGGUGGGAAUGCCCAGCAACCUCUGGGAUUUUUAACAUCUCUCCUCAGCUGCAAAGGCCAGGUUAGAUGGACUGUGAAGGGUCUGUUACAAGUAUUUCAACCUGUCUGUUCAGAAAAGGGCUGAGUUCAUCACAAGCGACAUCACACAGGAUUGGGUUUUUCCUCCAUCUGCAUCAGUGCAAAUUUUGUCAUUGGGAAAAGCACUUUGGGCUGCUUUUGACAGGCUUUAUUCUACUGGAGGAUGUUUGCUCAAAGCUUCAGCCCCGGAAAAGUGGUUGUACUGUGAGCUGUGUAUGAGCAGGGCUGAAAUGCAAUCUUCUUUUUAUUACCUUCACUUGAAAUAGCAGCACCUGCAGCCAUGGGCUGGUCUGCCAAUGGUACAAUCAGACCCACAUCCAACUGCCAGGGUGCCUGUGCUCCAGGAAAAUGUCCUGAGGAACUGGGACUGUGCUGCGUUCAGCAGUGUCCCUGUUAAAUGUACUAAUUGCAGAGCACACAAUGAAGAGAAAUGGUGGCAGCAGUGGUGGAUGAAAGAUUUUGUCCCUCAUUAGGCAGGUUGAAGCUUGAGACUCUGGUAGAGCUUUGUCAUCUCAGCCCAGCACUUCUGCUAUAUGGCAGUAUUCAAGCGUGCAAACUUCAAAUGGGUUUUCCACAGGCACUCAUGCAAGCCAGACUCCAUCCUUCGAAUGUCUGCGGAGAGCAAACAGACAAGAGAUGGGAAGCCUGGGCAAAGGGAAGCCUUUUCCAAACUGCCAGCAACACAGCUCCACUUAAUGUAGUCCCUGCUGCAGUCCCUGAAAGUGAAAGACGAGAAAAAAUAGAUCAAGGACAAGUCAGCAUCAGCCAGCCACGUCCUAGGCAGGGCACCAGCUCUCCAUGAGUAUUUGCUGCCAUUCACACUGCUGCUUAUGGCUCUUUCUUCUUUAAGGAGUUAUAAAAGGACAAUCUUAAGUGUCAAAUCAUUAAAAUCUGAGCCGAGGAUGGGAUUUCAGAGUGGUGCUCCUCAGUUACAGUAAGGCUUUACCUAAAGAGUGGUGGUCAAGGAAUGACCACCUCAGAUAGCAUCUUUAUAACAGUUUUACUGUGUAAUCUGGUAAAAAUCAGGCAAGACUUGGGAAGCCUAGUUAUCAUUUUAAUUCACCUCCCCACGAAUGAGGUGCAGGUGUAUGGGGGGCAUCGUGUUUUGGGUUUGAGUUUGAACCAGGGUGGUUUCUCAGCCCUUGGCAGUGCUUUCUGGAGGAGACUUGAGCUGGGAGGGAGAGCUGGGAGGUGGGGCUGAAUUACCUGGAGUCCUUCUCUGCAUGUGUAAAAUGGCAUAGCUGCUGUUCAGAAAAGCACAUGGACCAGAAACACAUCCAGCAGAUAGAAGGCAGAGAGACCCAGAGGGAAAAAAAAGUGCAAGGUAGAGUUGUUGCUUAAAAUAAAUUUCAGAAAUCCCAAUUGCCCCUUUUCUGUACCGCUGGCAGAGCAAGCCUUCAUGCUAAAAGCUGAGGAGGGACAGGAAGGAACCAAGGCCCUGUGGAUAAUUCAGGAGUGACAUGCCAUGCAUGAGAAGUGCUGCUGAAAAAUGCAUGAGAGCAGCUUUGCUAAAAAAUGGACUGUGGAAAUGUUGGCUUCCUUGGAGGAACCACGAGAAUAAAAAGAGAGAAGCAAAUGAGCAUCAGAGUGAGAACAGACAGCUCUCAAAGGCUUUCCCUUUGAGAAAUCCCUGAAGCGGGAAUGCCACAACCUGCUGCUGCCUUGACAGUUUUUUGGGACAAGUAAAGCUCUGCCUGUGCUGUGAAUAUGGGUGAGUUAGAGGACUCAUUUAUGGGGCAGGCCUACACACCCCAGCAAUUGCAGCAGGCAAGGAGCAACUGAGGAAGGAACAUCACAUCCAGGUCCUCCUCCUUGCCACUCCAUCUAGAAUCCAAACACCAGGAAAAAAAAAGAAGAAAAAAAAAAAGAAAAAAAAAAAAAGAGUUAAUUAUCAGAUGGGUCUAUAAGGCAGGUUUAAGGAUGCCAUCAAGCAGCAGCACUGCCCGCUUGCUGAAAUGCUUCCCAGACUGGGGGGAAAGUGAGCUAUGUCUUUGCCUCUUGUGGGGCAUCAAGCACGGGGACAGGAUGAGGGCAGUGAUAGGAAUGGAAAUUUAGCGCUGCACUGCCAGCCUGAUCCUUUAGCACAUCUGUGUGUGUGUCCCCCAUGAGCAUCUUUUAAUUAGCACCAAGCCUAGAAAUCAGAUGGCUGCUUCAGAGCCUCUCUCUCAGGAUUUUUAAGGGACCCCUCCGUUGUGCAGUUUAGUUGCAGAUUUACAAAGGAGAUAGGAAACCCAUGAGGUGUGCCAGGCACUGGUGCAGUGUCCUGGGUGCAGGGGGGCAAAAGCAUCCCCAAACAGGGGGAGUGGGGAGCUGGGGGAGCCUGAAAUCCAAUUAGGGCUUGGCCAACCCAGCUGAUGCCCAGCUGCCAAGGCCCAGAGGAAACCCUCACAGAGGGGGGUGAGGGUCUCAGCUGGCCCCAGCAGUUGUGAUAGUUUUAUCAGGUACUUAAAACAUUCUCAGUGUCACCAGUCCCGGUCAGCAUGCAACAAAGGCAAAGCACAAACUGACCAGGCAGGACUUGAAACCGACUAAAUGCCCUUGAAACCAACUAAAAUUAGAAUUGGCUGAAAAGGGAAUUUCGGGGAAAAAAUAGCACCAUUCAUUUUUUAUUUCCCCUGACCUCAGGAGGAGAAUGGAUUUCUUCCACUUGUGUACCUUUAAGCUAUGGGGAAGGAAAUUCCAUGCAAAAUUGUUUUAUUUUCUUCGAAGCUGUUGAGACACUCCAAACCGAUAACUUACCAUUUCAUUUUAUGAUGUCAGGAAGAGAGCUUAGGUCUUUAAAAUACUAAAACAUUUUGGUUUUCGUAAAAAGAAUUGAAUUCAUUGAUCCUAUCACUUUGACAUGCUCUGUGAUAGCGUAUGCUCAGCGAGUCCAUAAACUUUUGGGACAACCUGUUACAGCCUCAAGGAAUACACUGAACAAGUGCUACACAAAGCAUGAAAUAUGAAACACAAAAACACAAGACAGAAUGAAGUGAAACUCUGCUCCAAUUUCAAAUCAUGCAUAAACAGAUUUUCUUGCAAUAAGCAUUGCUCCUGAUUUUUUUCCACCUCCCUUGUGUUUCCCUUGUGUUCUAGUUUUAAGGAAAAAGAAUGCGUGGUAUCUUCACCUGCUCCAAACUUUUUUUAUUCUAAAGCUGGAUCGCAUCAAAAAUGGGCAGAGAAAACCAUUUAGAAAAUUUGUACCUUUUUUAUUGUAUUCUCUCUACUGAUAAUAUGGUCCCACUAGGAGGUACCAGUAACCCUUCAUGGCCAGAUUUAAGGAUCAAGGAGAUAAAAGUCAGUGGCUGUGUUCUGGACCAAUUUUCAAUAACUAUUUCCCAGCCUUUAAGAACAACCAACCACCCACCAACCAACCACCAAAAACAAAAGCUGGGUAAAGUAUAAAAUGUUAUAGCAAUUUUUUUUUUAAAGGGAGACAGCCCUUACUGGUGGUGUCUGUGUCUUUCAUGGACCUUUGUAAAUUGUACCU